GUGGGGUAAUUUUCCGCAAUGGGCGAAAGCCUGACGGAGCAAUGCCGCGUGGUGGUGGAAGGCCUACGGGUCGUCAACUUCUUUUCUCGGAGAAGAAACAAUGACGGUAUCUGAGGAAUAAGCAUCGGCUAACUCUGUGCCAG
rnacentral:rRNA from 1 species